rnacentral:tmRNA from 1 species
GGGGUCGUUACGGAUUCGACAGGCACUAUGAGAUACAUUCUGCGACUCAUCGGCAGAUGUAAAAAUGCCAGUUAAAUAUAACUGCAAAAAAUACAAAUUCUUACGCUGUAGCUGCCUAAAAACCAGCUCGCGUGAUCUCUACAGGAUUGCUUGUGUUUUGCUAGAGGUUUCAUUGAUUAGCAAGCUACGUUUGAUUAUUGCCUAGCUAGUCAAAAAGAGAUUUAUAGGCUCGCUUAAUCUAGGUUUGAGUUAUGUAUCGAGCUUAAGUUAAAUCAAAGACAUAACCUAUGGUUGUAGACGAAUGUAUUGGCAGGUGUUUGGACGUGGGUUCGACUCCCACCGGCUCCAUA